GACGAACGCUGGCGGCGUGCUUAACACAUGCAAGUCGAACGGUGAACCUCUUCGGAGGGGAUCAGUAGCGAACGGGUGAGUAACACGUGGGCAACCUGCCCCCGGCUCUGGGAUAACUCCAAGAAAUUGGGGCUAAUACCGGAUGUUCACCGCUUCCCGCAUGGGUGGUGGUGGAAAGGGUUUCCGGCUGGGGAUGGGCCCGCGGCCUAUCAGCUUGUUGGUGGGGUAGUGGCCUACCAAGGCGACGACGGGUAGCCGGCCUGAGAGGGUGACCGGCCACACUGGGACUGAGACACGGCCCAGACUCCUACGGGAGGCAGCAGUGGGGAAUAUUGCGCAAUGGGCGGAAGCCUGACGCAGCGACGCCGCGUGGGGGAUGACGGCCUUCGGGUUGUAAACCUCUUUCAGCAGGGACGAAGCGCAAGUGACGGUACCUGCAGAAGAAGCACCGGCCAACUACGUG
rnacentral:rRNA from 1 species